ACUGGGACCGUCGCUGCCACUCAGCCAGAGAGCCAGCAUCUUGGCAAGGGCUGGGCCUGGAGUGAAGCUGGAAGGGCUAGCAUGGAGAGCCUGUCACCUGGGGGACCACCUGGCCACCCUUACCAGCUGUCGACCGCACCUGGAAUGAAGUUUAAGACCAAGACGCUCACCGACACCAGUCAUCCUGUGUGGAAUGAGGCCUUCCGUUUCCUUAUCCAAAGUCAGGUCAAGGUGAAGGCCCGGGACUCCUGGCCACUCCCUUGUGAACGGGCUGGACCCCCAUGCAAGGGUUCCUGGGGUAGAGCAUGCUUCCUCUGGGGCUGUCAGAGAAACUCUCAGCAGUAGGGGGUCUCUGUGCCCUGGCCUGUCUGUGCUGUGUGCAAGGGAAUGUAUGAAAGAAUGAACAUGGUCCUUUCACCAACUGGCUGUGGGACUGACUCCCACAAGCUGGGUUCCUCUCGAAGCCCAGCUAUGAAACAGAGACAGUAAGAGCCCCCUCCUGAUCAGGUCACUGUGGGGUGAGAUGAGAUAAUGCGUGGAAGACCGUGAAAGAUCACCAGCACAUACCUUAGGGUGCACCUCAGGGAGCCAGAAAAGCCAGGGAGAGAGAGACACACAGACAGGGAGAGAGGAAGAGGGAAUUAUUUGACAGACUUUUAUGUGUUUUGUUUUGUUUUUGAGACAGAGUCUUGCUCUUAUUGCCCAGGUUGGAGUUGAAUGGCGCGAACUGGGCUCACUGCAACCUCCGCCUCCCAGGUUCAAGCGAUUCGCCUGCCUCAGCCUCCCGAGUAGCUGGGAUUACAGGCACCCACCACCAUGUCCAGAUAAUUUGUUGUAUUUUUAGUAGAGAUGGGGUUUCACCAUGUUGGCCAGGCUGGUCUCGAACUCUCGACAUCAGGUGACCCACCCACCUCAGCCUCCCAAAGUGCUGGAUAACAGGCAUGAG
rnacentral:lncRNA from 10 species